CCUACGGGAGGCAGCAGUGGGGAAUAUUGGGCAAUGGAGGAAACUCUGACCCAGCGACGCCGCGUGCGGGAUGAAGGCCUUCGGGUUGUAAACCGCUUUCAGCAGGGAAGAAGCGAAAGUGACGGUACCUGCAGAAGAAGCACCGGCUAACUAUGUGCCAGCAGCCGCGGUAAUACAUAGGGUGCAAGCGUUGUCCGGAAUUAUUGGGCGUAAAGAGCUCGUAGGUGGUUCGUCACGUCGGAUGUGAAAAUCUGGGGCUUAACCCCAGACCUGCAUUCGAUACGGGCGAGCUUGAGUAUGGUAGGGGAGUCUGGAAUUCCUGGUGUAGCGGUGGAAUGCGCAGAUAUCAGGAGGAACACCAAUGGCGAAGGCAGGACUCUGGGCCAUUACUGACACUGAGGAGCGAAAGCGUGGGGAGCGAACAGGAUUAGAUACCCUGGUAGUCCACGCCGUAAACGGUGGGGCACUAGUUGUGGGGACCUUCCACGGUCUCUGCGACGCAGCUAACGCAUUAAGUGCCCCGCCUGGGGAGUACGAUCGCAAGAAUUAAAACUCAAAGGAAAUUGACGGCUGAGAGNGCGAGACGACGACGAGGAGAGG
rnacentral:rRNA from 1 species